rnacentral:rRNA from 1 species
AUUGAACGCUGGCGGCAGGCCUAACACAUGCAAGUCGAACGCGUGGCGGACGGGUGUGUAAUGUCUGGGAAACUGCCUGAUGGAGGGGGAUAACUACUGGAAACGGUCGCUAAUACCGCAUACUAUCGGAUGACCCCAGAUGGGAUUAGCUUGUGGGUGGGGUAAAGGCACACCUAGGCGACGAUCCCUAGCUGGUCUGAGAGGAAGACCAGCCACACUGGAACUGAGACACGGUCCAGACUCCUACGGGAGGCAGCAGUGGGGAAUAUUGCACAAUGGGCGCAAGCCUGAUGCAGCCAUGCCGCGUGUAUGAAGAAGGCCUUCGGGUUGUAAAGUACUUUCAGCGGGGAGGCGUUACCCGCAGAAGAAGCACCGGCUAACUCCGUGCCAGCAGCCGCGGUAAUUC